rfam:Salmo salar isolate Sally breed double haploid chromosome ssa14, whole genome shotgun sequence.
UGCAUUCACAACUGUAAGUCGCUCUGGAUAAGAGUGUCUGCUAAAUGACUCAAA